AUAUUUGUAAAAUGUCCCGUUUAGUUCUCAGGGUGUGUCUGAGACAAGGAUGAGCCAUGCUUUCUGGUCACAGCUCCUUCCCAGAGCAAACCAAGCAGCUGCCUCCUCCUCAGUCUGCUCAUCGGUGUCAGCACCAUCCCCUUCGGGGGGGCUCAGCAGAGCUGAGGAGGAAUAGGAAUGGGAGCUGGCUUGGCACAGAGCUCCUGUUCACCCUCAGGGACUGGGGAAGCACCUUGGUGACAUGCAGAUGUGUCAGCAGUGCCAGGAUCAGGUGGAAUUGAGGAGCUGACUGACCAGAUAGCGCAAUGUGGUGUCACACUUAUCUGCUUCUCUAUCCUGGCCAGACAGGCUCUCAGGCAUCCUCCUCCCUAGCGAUCACAAUUAGGAUUAGGCGUAAAGGUGUUCUUCAAACAAUGGUUUGGAGCCAGAGGUGUCCUCAGGCUGUCACAACAGAGGUCUGAUAAAUGACCUCAAUCUGAAAACACUGUUUUAUGUGUAGUGGAGGAACUUUUGAAUGCCUUCAGAUCUCUUGGUUGUAAGGCAAGGAGAGUAUCAGCUGAAAGUAGGCAGGACUACAGGAACAGCUGCACUGAGGAGGAGGGCUGAAAACACACUGCAUCUUCCCAUCCUGCUCUGGCUCUUCUCCUCAGGCAAUAUUACUUAUUUUUUCCCCUUUGGCAAGGGUUGGCACAAGGCUGGUAAAAAGGCCAAGAACACAUUCAAGGUGACUCUUACUCCUAAUUUCGGAGGGGAUCUGGCUAGAGUACGAGCCACUCAGCAGAGCUGGUUUGCCCUGGGAUAUUCUAUUUCAUGCUAACUCAGGCAGCAAAGAGCCCUCUUCCUAUUUCUAACUCCAGUCAGUGAGGAAGGAUCCACUGAGGCUGAUGAACCACUGACCAACACUUAAACACCAGUUGAUUUGGUGUUUAAGAAACAACUUGAAGACAGGUAUUUUGUGGUAGGGAGCUGGCUGCUUGCAAAAAUAUCCACUAUUAGCACAUCAAAGUGAUGUUAUUUGGCCGGGGAGAAUGACUGCUCCAGUGAGAAACAUCAGCCAAUUCUUCACCUCCACUGCUGCAACCCAGCAUGGCUGUACCCUUGCCAUAUCCCUGUUUGUUCCCCAGGACCUGGGUGGAGCUAUCAAACCACUUCCCACAGACUAACCAAAAAGCUGAGUAACACCACCUAAUCCCCUACAUUAUCAGAUUAAAUCUGUUGACACGGGAGUAGAAGGCCAGUGCUUUUCACCUUUGGUCAUCAUGGCCCCCUGCUGCUCCUGAGCCACAGCCAGCACCUCUCAGCUGACCUCCCAAAAGAAUGCAGAACCAUUUACCCUCACAACCGUGUCCCAUCCUGAGCCAGACAGCUCUAGCAAAAGCAGCACCAUGCACUCGCUUCAUCCAUAAACUGCUGGAAUUUGCAUUCUGGUUGCGAGGAGAUUACAGGAGGGAAAAAUCCUGCAAACAGCUGCUCUUGCUUUUUGAUCUCUUGAUGAUUUUACAGUACUUGAAUCUCUGUGAAGACAGAGAAAAGGACUCAGUCCUUUUCUCUGUAAAAUAUUGUUUCCAUUCCCUUCUUGGCUCUUUGUUCCUGAUACCACAUGACCAAAACCCAAGAGGAACAAGUAUCUUCUCCACACCAGUAAGGAAUCUGCUCACUUUCAGUUUGUACAAAUAAUAAAGGAUUCAGAAAUUCUUCUAUGAAACACGGUAGCCAAACUACCGAAACACCUCGUUUACAGCAGGGGCUCAACCAACAUUGUGCAGUCUCUUGCCCCUGCUCAGAGAGAGGGAGCUUUCUGCUAAGGAGUGCUGUCCCGCCAGCUGCAGCCUUCCUCAUGCAAACUGAGCUAGGCCUGGAACCGCUCCAUGACAAGCUCCCUGAGACACAUGGGCGAUGCUGCAAUUGCACCUGCCUCUAAAUACGCAUGUCACACAGAGCGGGCCCUGAAAUCCCUUAAGGACAAAGUCCACAGAAGCAAGGGCUGUUCUCAUCUGGGACAGGGCAGGCCACGGACCAGCAGUGGAAAAACACAGGACCAACUUCUGGUGCUUCCAAGACAGACACUUCGUGGGAAGAGAUGAACAGAAAUUCCUUGCUCUUAUCUUGAGGCGAGGAAUGAGAGAUGACAUGAAACAAAAAAUACAAACAUAUCAUCCUUCACAUGUGGAAAAAGGAAAAAAAGCCCUGCAUGACAAAAAGGUGUGGAGAAGACAGAUGUUCUCCAUGAUGCUGCAUCUUCAAGCUCAGGAGGACAGACAAAUGACAUAUGGACAGUGCUGCAUUUGACAGGCUGACACUAGAAACUACUCUCUGCCCUCCUCAGAACUGCUUCAGGACAAGACGGCUCACAAUUAUUCACGCAUUUCUUCAUUUAAAAACAUCACUUCUUUAUUUGAAAGAAAAAAAAGUAAUGACCCUCCCAACCCCUUCAAAAAAAAACCCCCAAUAAUAAUAAUAAUAAUAAUUAUAAUUAUAAUAAAAAAUCCUAUUAGAAACAAUAAGGAAGCACUGAGAGUUUGAGUAUUACACUCUUCAAGUAUGCUGUUCGGAUUUUUUUUAAAUCUGUGAAUAUAUAUAUAU